CUAGUGUACACAAAGCUACAGCAUUCGAGAAGUUACACAAAAUGUGUUCAAGUGGGAUUCUCAAAACAGCAGCCACCAUUGUGAAUUGCAUUUUCCGAAUGUUUUUCGGCCGCUUGCAGCAGACACAACAACUUGGUUAAGUGUAUGGUGCGGCGGCAAUGGGUGGGUUAGGCUAAGGUUGGGUAGGUUCACCAAAUACGCCCGAGCCGAGCUUCUCGACGAUGACCAGCGACUGGCGCGGAAACUCCUGCACUUGGCAAUUGGCCUGCU